rnacentral:rRNA from 1 species
GGACUACCGGGGUAUCUAAUCCUGUUUGCUCCCCUAGCUUUCGUCCCUCAGCGUCAGUAGUGGUCCAGCGCGCCGCCUUCGCCACGGGUGUUCCUGCAGAUAUCUACGCAUUUCACCGCUACACCUGCAAUUCCACGCGCCUCUCCCACACUCGAGCACGGCAGUUUCGGAAGCAGUCACUGAGUUAAGCCCAGAGAUUUCACUCCCGACUUGCCACACCGCCUACGGACCCUUUACGCCCAGUAAUUCCGAGCAACGCUGGCCCCCUACGUCUUACCGCGGCUGCUGGCAC